rnacentral:ribozyme from 1 species
AUUUUCACUCAUCUCUUUUUUUCAGUUGAAGUCUACAUCGAUACGAAGGUGACAAUUAUAUGUCAUAUGAGGGAUGAACGUCGUGUUAUAAUCUACGAGUAUAAUUUAGUAUAGAGCUAUAAUAAGUGAAAUAUGAAAUGA